ensembl:lncRNA
CCUGCAGGGGCGGCCAGAACCGAGUGUCUGAAUGGAUAGAGCUCACUUGUAAAAUCGUGCAACCCAGCUCCUGAUCUGCCUGCUUGCACACUCCUGGGUCUCACUGACUCUUCCACCUCCCCACACAGCCUGAACUCGAAUGGCAUUCCCCGAAGCUUUGUGUCAGCCUCUUCAUACGUGGAGGGUCAGGAUGUGCCCAUGGGAAUGUCAGGACUGCACAGCCCUGGUACCUUGGACUAGAGAGAUCAUGACUACUCAAAGCCAUACAAGUCAGAGGCAAAAAAAAUAGCACGCAGCCCUGAACAAGCCCUGAGAGGCCCAUGACAAGGCCCCAGCACAGCAUCUCCCUGGUGAGCAGACUGAGGUGGGGCUUCUGCACACAUUAUUUUCACAGUCUUGGCAAUAGCCCCUAAGCUAGACCUUUUCAUCUCACUGCACAGAUGACACAGGUGCCUGGUGUGUUUGGGGACUGGGGUAGAAGGGUGACAGUUGAACCCUGAGUGAGUAGAUGGAGUGAGCUAUCUGACCAGCAGUCCCUGUGUAGGGUCAUGUUCAGUGACUGCCACAGAUAGUAGUCACAAGGCUCACUAAGUAUUGUAAACCAACCUGCAUUUAGGGCCACAGCAGACUUGCCAAGAGCUCACUACCUCCAAAAGCAAGGUCCUCAUGUGUCCAGAAAGACAUUUUUAGAGAGAGGAAGUCCUCAAACUAUGGAGGGAAGUCUGAAGAACUGGGAUUCUGUUGCCCCUGAGAAGCAGAACUCUCGCCCCAACUGUUUAGAACCAGACAGAAAGCCAAUGGGGAAGUUUGGAAUGGCCACAAAGGACAGGUGGGUGGAGCCAAAAUCCCUAGCCAGUCUGCUGGAGGGGUUUGCAGCAGAAAGAUAGGCACGGAUCUGGGUAAGGCUGGAUUAGCCCAAAGGUAGACAGGCUAGACCUCAAGUCCCCUGGCCCCAGCUCAGUGAUAUGACUCUCCAUGGAGGGACAGUAGCCAGGCAUAGGGGACAGCAGGGAGGCAGAGACAAGUGCAUACAACCCACUGUCUGAUCUGUCUGUGAACCUAUUACACUCUCUCGGCCAAAUGCUCCAAACCACGUUCUCCCAGGGGCAGCAUUGGCUUGGGGCCUCCCCAUGUGCCUCUCCAUCAUCUUUUGCUACUGAUCACCGAAUACCUUGGCUGGACACUUGAUCCUCCUCAGUCAGCAGGACAUACAUCCCCAUGGGGCAGAAGGGUGAGGGACAACUCCAGGAAUGAGGUACAAAAGCAUGAAUUAGCAUAAAUAAUGAAUAAGUAUGAAUUGAUGUUCAUGGUGGCUACAAGAAUCAGUCUCAUCAAUCAGGAAGUGGACGGCUCAGUUGUCUUGAUGUGCAGUUUAAUUUUGAGCUGGGAGUGGAAUGGAAGAAGCACACAUCAAGGCUUGAGGUGCGGGGUGAGCUGGGGGAGCGGUGCCCACACAUCUGUGCCUGUGUGUUUUAAUGUGUGAUGGUGUGAGUGAGCCUCUGGUGGUGUGUCUGCGUUUGUUCUGGCGGUGUGGCCCUGCGUGUUUGUCUGUGGAC